AUUGAACGCUGGCGGCCGGCCUAACCCAUGCUAGUCGAGCGAGCGGCGGACGGGUGAGUAAUGUAUGGGGACUGCCCGAUAGAGGGGGAUAACUACUGGAAACGGUAGCUACUACCGCAUACUAUCGGAUAACCCAUAUGGGAUUAGCUAGUAGGUGAGGUAAUGGCUCACCGAGGCGACGAUCCCUAGCUGGUCUGAGAGGAUGAUCCGUCAAACGGGGACUGAGAGAAGGCCCAUACUACUACGGAGGAAGCAGGGGGGAAUAGUGCGCAAUGGGAGCAAGCAUGAUGCAGCCAUGCGGCGUGAAUGAAGAAGGCCCUAGGGUUGUAAAGUACUUUCAGUCGGGAGGCGUUACCGACAGAAGAAGCACCGGCUAAAACGGUGCCAGCGGCCGGGGUAAUAC
rnacentral:rRNA from 1 species